rnacentral:rRNA from 1 species
AUUGAACGCUGGCGGCAGGCCUAACACAUGCAAGUCGAGCGAGCGGCGGACGUGUGUGUAAUGUAUGGGGACUGCCCGAUAGAGGGGGAUAACUACUGGAAACGGUAGCUAAUACCGCAUACUAUCUGCUAACACAUAUGGGCUUAGCUAGUAGGUGAGGUAAUGGCUCACCUAGGAGACGAUCCCUAGCUGGUCUGAGAGGAGGAUCAGCCACACUGGGACUGAGACACGGCCCAGACGCCUACGGAGGCAGCAGUGGGGAAUAUUGCACAAUGGGCGCAAGCCUGAUGCAGCCAUGCCGCGGGUAUGAAGAAGGCCGUAGGGUUGUAAAGUACUUUCAGUCGGGAGGCGUUACCGACAGAAGAAGCACCGGCUAACUCCGUGCCAGCCGCCGCGGUAAUAC